UUUUUUUUUUUUUUCCGGCAACGGGAAAGAAAAAAGCGGGCGGCGCACCGCCGGCCCGUCUCGACCGCAGCGUCGGUGAGGCGGAGCAAGAGCAGACACGUUGGGACCCGAAAGAUGGUGAACUAUUCCUAGGCAGGACGAAGCCAGAGGAAACUCUGGUGGAGGUCCGUAGCGUUUCUGACGUGCAAAUCGAUCGUCAGACCUGGGUAUAGGGGCGAAAGACUAAUCGAACCAUCUAGUAGCUGGUUCCCUCCGAAGUUUCCCUCAGGAUAGCUGGCUCUCGAGAGAAACACAGUCUCAUCCGGUAAAGCGAAUGAUUAGAGGCCUUGGGGCCGAAACGACCUCAACCUCUUCUCAAACUUUCAAUGGGUGAGAAGUCCGGCUUGCUCGACUGAAGCCCGGACGUCGGAUGCGAGUGCCCAGUGGGCCACUUUUGGUAAGCAGAACUGGCGCUGUGGGAUGAACCAAACGCCGGGUUACGGCGCCCAAUGCGACGCUCAUCAGACACCAUGAAAGGUGUUGGUUGCUAUAGACAGCAGGACGGUGGCCAUGGAAGUCGGAAUCCGCUAAGGAGUGUGUAACAACUCACCUGCCGAAGCAACUAGCCCUGAAAAUGGAUGGCGCUCAAGCGUCGAGCCUAUACCCGGCCGCCGGGGCAGAGCCCGUUUGAAAAAAUUGGCAGCAGACGCCCCGGCGAGUAGGAGGGUCGCGGCGGUGAGCGGAAAAGGGUCGGGCGCAGGCCCGCCUGGAGCCGCCGCCGGUGCAGAUCUUGGUGGUAGUAGCAAAUACUCGAGUGAGAACCUUGAGGACUGAUGUGGAGAAGGGUUCCAUGUGAACAGCAGUUGAACAUGGGUCAGUCGGCCCUAAGGAAUAGGGAAAUCCCGUUCCGAACGGGGGGUUAAUAGAAUGAUACUGCCCCCGAACCUGACCGAAAGGGAAUCGGGUUAAUAUUCCCGAACCCGGACACGGAGAUCGGGCCCAUCGCGGUCCAGUGCGGUGACGCAAACGCCCUCGGAGACGUCGGCGGGAGUCCCGGGAAGAGUUGUCUUUUCUUUGUAAGGAACGGAAUCCCUGGAAUCGGUUCGCCCGGAGAUAGGGAUGUGGUUUCCGUAAAGCACCGCGCCUCCUGCGGUGUCCGGACAGCUCUCGUCGGCCCUUGAAAAUCCGAGGAAGGCAGUGCGAUUUUCGUGCCGGGCCGUACCCAUAUCCGCAGCAGGUCU
rnacentral:rRNA from 1 species